rnacentral:rRNA from 1 species
UACGAAGGGGCUAGCGUUGUUCGGAAUUACUGGGCGUAAAGCGCACGUAGGCGGGUUGUUAAGUCAGGGUGAAUCCUGGAGCUCAACUCCAGAACUGCCUUUGAUACUGGCGACCUAGAGACUGGGAAGAGGUUAGUGGAAUUCCCAGUGUAGAGGUGAAAUUCGUAGAUAUUGGGAAGAACACCAGUGGCGAAGGCGGCUAACUGGUCCAGCACUGACGCUGAGGUGCGAAAGCGUGGGGAGCAAACAGGA